CCCUCGCACUUCGGGAUAAGCCUGGGAAACUGGGUCUAAUACCGGAUAGGAGCCAUUUUUAGUGUGAUGGUUGGAAAGUUUUUCGGUGUAGGAUGAGCUCGCGGCCUAUCAGCUUGUUGGUGGGGUAAUGGCCUACCAAGGCGGCGACGGGUAGCCGGCCUGAGAGGGUGGACGGCCACAUUGGGACUGAGAUACGGCCCAG
rnacentral:rRNA from 1 species